rnacentral:lncRNA from 1 species
AUUAUUAGAAUUUAAAUAAUUAAUGAUUUGAUAGAUUUUUUUAAUUAUUCUAUUUUUCAAACUUAAUUUAUUUUUAGUUAUUUAAUUAUUAUUAUUAUUAUUAUUAUUAUUAUUAUUAUUUUGUUAAUAUGUAUGAAAUAUUUUUUUUAUUUAAUCGAGAAUUUUACCGGUUUCCAAAAUUUCUUUUAUCAAUUUGUCUGCAUAAUAGUGGAAAACUUGAUAGUACUAAGGGUGUGUUUGAUUUGAAGUCGAAAUCAAAAUUGGAAAAGGAAUGGGAAUAAGCUGGAAUCGGAAUCGAAACCGGAAUGACUCAUUACCUCAUUUUGUUUGGUUCGCCACCUGAGUCGGAAUCGAAAUGAAUUAUUCCCAUUGUCGAUGUUUUGUUCAGAUAGUUAUCAAAAACGGGAUCAAAUUAAUAUACCAAUUUUACCCUUUUAAUGUAUUUUAAUUACUUUUAACUAAUUUGAAUACUCUAUUCAAAAUAUAAAUGAGCAACUUACAAACUAAUGAAUAAAAAAAUAUAUA